UACGGGGGGUGCGAGCGUUAAUCGGAAUUACUGGGCGUAAAGCGUGCGCAGGCGGUUUCACAAGCUCGAUGUGAAAGCCCCGGGCUUAACCUGGGAAUGGCAUUGAGGACCUUGGAGGACUCGAGUGCGGCAGAGGGAGGUGGAAUUCCACGUGUAGCAGUGAAAUGCGUAGAGAUGUGGAGGAACACCGAUGGCGAAGGCAGCCUCCUGGGCCGACACUGACGCUCAUGCACGAAAGCGUGGGGAGCAAACAG
rnacentral:rRNA from 1 species